UACAAUAUAAAAGGUAGUGUACAUUGACAUUUAUUAAACGUUAAAGCUACAAUCAUCAUACAGAGACAAAUUAUUUAAAUCCUACAAAGAAGAACACUUUCAAAAGAUGUCAGAUGAAAAUUGGAACAGUAUUAAAGAUGCAACAGACACCACAAAAUAUAAGCAUACGGAUAAACAUGACCACAGGAAAUUCGUGCAAGUAGGCACAAGUAAAUAUUAUUUGUCGAGGGAUUUGGCGGGUCAUGGUCACUCAUGGUGCAAGCUCUUUUUUAGAAAAAGGCAGUUCUUUAAAUUUUGUUGGAUCUGUAACCAAAAAUAUUUUUAAAGAUGUUGCUAAGUUAUACCCAAGGAGCUUAAAAGAUGCACAUUUUAAGCCAGUCUAUGAGGAUUUUCAAAUUAUUUCAAAACAUGAAUCAAAGGAAGGACAAGUUAUAGACAAGAAACGUCUAAUCAAAUGUAAAUAACUCUGUUUGCCACAAGAGAGUUGCUGUAUUUACAUGAAGUUUAAAUUAUUUUUAGCGGAAGCACUUCUUGCGUAAAAAUCCUAUAAUAUAUACCUUGAUUUUAUGUUGCUAAAAUAUGUAAAUAUUUACAUUACAGAUAAAUCAAUAUAGCAUUGAGUAAAUAUGUUAAUCUUAAAAUGAAUUGUAAUAAAGAAUUUUAAGUGUUGAUAUUUUA